AUGGCGCUCACUCGCCUCCUCCUCCUCGCCCUUCUCGGCGCCGCAUUACCACUGCUCUUCUUCUCCAGUGCAGAGGCGGGCGAGGUGGGCGUGUGCUAUGGCAGAGUCGGCGACAACCUGAUGGACCCGGCGGUGGUGGUGCAGCUGCUCAAGAAGAACGGCAUCACGACGGUGAGGGUGUACGACACCGACCCGGCCGUGCUGCGCGCGAUGGCCAACACCGGCAUCAAGGUGGUUGUGGCGCUGCCCAACGAGAUGCUGGCCUCCGCGGCCGGCGACCCGUCGUACGCGCUCCGGUGGGCGAGGAGCAACCUGGCGCCCUACUACCCGGCCACGGACAUUCGCGGCGUGACGGUCGGGAACGAGGUCUUCCAGCAGGCGCCGCAGCUCACGCCGCAGCUCCUCCCGGCCAUGAGGAACGUGCGGGCGGCGCUGGUUAGCCUGGGCCUGGGCGACGCCGUGAAGGUGACCACGCCGGUCGCGUUCGACGCGCUCAAGGUGUCGUUCCCGCCGUCCAGGAGCGCGUUCCGGGAUGACGUCGCGCAGUCGGUGAUGAGCCCCAUGCUCGACUUCCUGGAGCAGACCGGCUCCUACCUCAUGGUGAACAUCUACCCGUACUACACGUACACGUUCCAGCCCAACGUGAUCGACCUCAACUACGCGACGUUCCGCCCCAACGCCGGCGUCGUCGACCCCGUGACCGGCCUCACCUACUCCAACCUCUUCGACGCCCAGCUCGACGCCGUGUACUACGCCAUGGACAACCUGGAGUCCUCUGCUAGCAGCGUGCUGCGCACCGCUGCUGGGACGGUGAGCAGGGGGAGGCGCAGCCAGCGGGUGCCCGCCAAGACCGGCGAGUCCGGGUGGUGCUCCUACUGCCCGAACAUGGUGGGCGCCACAAAGGAGAACGCCCAGGCGUUCAACGCCAACCUCAUCAAGCGCGCGCUCUCCGGCAACGCCGGCACCCCGUACCGCCCCGACGCCGACGUCUCCGCGUACAUCUUCGCCCUUUUCAACGAGAACAAGAAGCCCGCCGACGAGCAGAACUUCGGACUCUUCUACCCGGACGGGCAGCCGGUGUACCCGGUCGACUUCGGCCCCAGCUCUGCCCCGGGCCCUGCCACGGGCAGCUGGUGCGUGGCGAACCCGGGCGUCGGGGAUGCGCGGCUGCAGGCCGCGCUGGACUACGCGUGCAGCAACGGGGCGGACUGCAGCGCCAUCCAGCCCGGGAAGCCGUGCUACGAGCCCAACACCUUGGUGGCGCACGCCUCCUACGCGUUCAACGACUUCUACCAGCGCAAGGGACGGGCCAGCGGGACCUGCGAUUUCAGCGGCGCCGCUUCCAUCGUCUUCCAGCAGCCCGCAGGCAUCUGCGACCCGAGCAUCAGCUGGUGCGUGGCGAACGCGGCGGCCGGAGACGCACGGCUGCAGGCGGCGCUGGAGUACGCGUGCGGCCACGGCGCGGACUGCAGCGCCAUCCAGCCGGGCGCACGGUGCUUCGACCCCGACACCAAGGUCGCGCACGCGUCCUACGCGUUCAACGACUUCUACCAGCGCAACGGCCGGGCCGACGGUUCGUGCAACUUCAACGGCGCUGGCUCCGUCGUCUACCAGCAACCGAAGAUAGGCAGUUGCGUGCUCCCGUCCAGUCAUCAACAGGCUAAACUGAAGAAAUGGUAG
rnacentral:rRNA from 1 species